UACGUAGGGGGCAAGCGUUGUUCGGAAUUACUGGGCGUAAAGGGCGCGUAGGCGGCACAGCGAAGUCGGGUGUGAAAUCUCGGAGCUUAACUCCGAAACUGCAUUCGAUACUGCCGUGCUUGAGGACUGGAGAGGAGACUGGAAUUUACGGUGUAGCGGUGAAAUGCGUAGAUAUCGUAAGGAAGACCAGUGGCGAAGGCGGGUCUCUGGACAGUUCCUGACGCUGAGGCACGAAGGUCAGGGGAGCAAACGGG
rnacentral:rRNA from 1 species